rnacentral:lncRNA from 1 species
UAUCACCUUCACAAUCUGACAAUAGUAAUCGAUCCAUCGAUGAGGAAUUAUUGGAAUGUUCACCAAGGUAUGUAGCAUUGAAGGAUCUCUUUCUACCACGAGAAGAAAUCAAACUCACUAUAACGAAUCAUCGACACGCAUCUAUAUACGAAUUUUCUCUGGCACCUAAUUACAGCUGCGAGGACGGGAGUUAUCUUGAAAAUCGUGACGAUGAAUACGAAUACUCAGAGAGAACGGGAGAAGAAUCUUACAUUAAACCAAAACGUUUCGAUUUUUACAAUAUCGACAGAAACGGGACAUAUUGUGACCUCGAUCAGGAUGAUUACGAGAGGAACGAGACUGAUUUACAUUCGCAAUCAAUUCGCAGGAUCAAUUCGAACGGAAUUAUUUAAAAAUAUGAAUCAGAU